GCCGGGUGUGGUGGCACACGCCUGUAAUCCCAGAAGCUGGGGAGGCUGAGACAGGAGGAUCGUGGGUUCAAAGCUGGCCUCAGCAAUGGCAAGGUGCUAAGCAACUCAGUGAGACCCUGUCUCUA
rnacentral:sRNA from 1 species